GCCACAGGCCUCUCCCGCCAGGCAGGGGCGGGGCGGUGGGGCAGCGGCACCGGCUCCCACCCGCGUCCUCCCACGCACCCCAGCUGCACCCAGUGCCCACCCUCUCGUCACCCCGGACCUCUCUAGAAGAGCACUUCUGAGCUCUCACUUCUACUGGUGCCAAGGACUGAGCUUGGGGUCUGAGAUAAUCAGGGCUUCAUAAUGUCAGGAUAAAAUUUUCAGAUAGA